rnacentral:rRNA from 1 species
AGAGUUUGAUCCUGGCUCAGGACGAACGCUGGCGGCGUGCCUAAUACAUGCAAGUCGAGCGAGCUUGCCUAGAUGAUUUUAGUGCUUGCACUAAAUGAAACUAGAUACAAGCGAGCGGCGGACGGGUGAGUAACACGUGGGUAACCUGCCCAAGAGACUGGGAUAACACCUGGAAACAGAUGCUAAUACCGGAUAACAACACUAGACGCAUGUCUAGAGUUUGAAAGAUGGUUCUGCUAUCACUCUUGGAUGGACCUGCGGUGCAUUAGCUAGUUGGUAAGGUAACGGCUUACUAAGGCAAUGAUGCAUAGCCGAGUUGAGAGACUGAUCGGCCACAUUGGGACUGAGACACGGCCCAAACUCCUACGGGAGGCAGCAGUAGGGAAUCUUCCACAAUGGACGAAAGUCUGAUGGAGCAACGCCGCGUGAGUGAAGAAGGGUUUCGGCUCGUAAAGCUCUGUUGGUAGUGAAGAAAGAUAGAGGUAGUAACUGGCCUUUAUUUGACGGUAAUUACUUAGAAAGUCACGGCUAACUACGUGCCAGCAGCCGCGGUAAUACGUAGGUGGCAAGCGUUGUCCGGAUUUAUUGGGCGUAAAGCGAGUGCAGGCGGUUCAAUAAGUCUGAUGUGAAAGCCUUCGGCUCAACCGGAGAAUUGCAUCAGAAACUGUUGAACUUGAGUGCAGAAGAGGAGAGUGGAACUCCAUGUGUAGCGGUGGAAUGCGUAGAUAUAUGGAAGAACACCAGUGGCGAAGGCGGCUCUCUGGUCUGCAACUGACGCUGAGGCUCGAAAGCAUGGGUAGCGAACAGAAUUAGAUACCCUGGUAGUCCAUGCCGUAAACGAUGAG